rnacentral:rRNA from 1 species
CAGCAGCCGCGGUAAUUCCAGCUCCAAUAGCGUAUAUUAAAGUUGUUGUGGUUAAAAAGCUCGUAGUAGAACCUUGGGCCUGGCUGGCCGGUCCGCCUCACCGCGUGCACUGGUCCGGCCGGGCCUUUCCCCCUGUGGAACCUCAUGCCCUUCACUGGGUGUGUGGGAAAACAGGACUUUUACUUUGAAAAAAUUAGAGUGCUCCAGGCAGGCCUAUGCUCGAAUACAUUAGCAUGGAAUAAUAGAAUAGGACGUGUGGUUCUAUUUUGUUGGUUUCUAGGACCGCCGUAAUGAUUAAUAGGGACAGUCGGGGGCAUCAGUAUUCAAUUGUCAGAGGUGAAAUUCUUGGAUUUAUUGAAGACUAACUACUGCGAAAGCAUUUGCCAAGGAUGUUUUCAUUUAUCAGGAACGAAAGUUAGGGGAUCGAAGACGAUCAGAUACCGUCGUAGUCUUAACCAUAAACUAUGCCGACUAGGGAUCGGACGAUGUUAUUUUUUGACUCGUUCGGCACCUUACGAGAAAUCAAAGUGCU